GAGAGUGUGGCUUAGUGGUAGAGUGCUUGCCUGUCAUGCAUGAAGCCCUAGGUUCAAUUCUUUAGUACCA
rfam:Dipodomys ordii contig_8403, whole genome shotgun sequence.